AUUGAACGCCGGCGGCAGGCCUAACACAUGCAAGUCGAGCGGAUGAAGGGAGCUUGCUCCUGUAUUCAGCGGCGGACGGGUGAGUAAUGCCUAGGAAUCUGCCUGGUAGUGGGGGAUAACGUCCGGAAACGGGCGCUAAUACCGCAUACGUCCUGAGGGAGAAAGUGGGGGAUCUUCGGACCUCACGCUAUCAGAUGAGCCUAGGUCGGAUUAGCUAGUUGGUGGGGUAAAGGCCUACCAAGGCGACGAUCCGUAACUGGUCUGAGAGGAUGAUCAGUCACAGUGGAACUGAGACACGGUCCAGACUCCUACGGGAGGCAGCAGUGGGGAAUAUUGGACAAUGGGCGAAAGCCUGAUCCAGCCAUGCCGCGUGUGUGAAGAAGGUCUUCGGAUUGUAAAGCACUUUAAGUUGGGAGGAAGGGCAGUAAGUUAAUACCUUGCUGUUUUGACGUUACCAACAGAAUAAGCACCGGCUAACUUCGUG
rnacentral:rRNA from 1 species